UCUUGCAGUGUCCCUUCUUCACAGAGACCUCUGUGUGUCUGUCUGCAACGGAUCUCACCCGAUAUUCCUCCUCCCCACCUUCCCUCCACUCCCUCUCUCUCUCUCUCUAAACUCUCAAGUUACUAUUUUUACUCCACUCUCUCUCUCUCUCUGGGACUAUUGUUUUCUUUCAAAUAAGGCCUCGUGAAGUGCAUGUGAAGCUUGGUGAAAGAUCCGGGACUUUGCUUUGCCUUUCUGAUUCAGGUGAUUGAAGUGUUUGCCUUCUUGCUUUUUGCUCCUUCUCCUCUUUCUCUUUUGUUCCCUUUAUGUGAUGUUACAUCAAGUUCAUUUUCUAUCUCACGGCCAUUUCUAAUUCUCCCCCGUUAUGUCAAAAUCCGUAAUCUCUUAAGGGUUUCAGAGCAAAAGAAUGAUUGCUGCUGAGAUUUGGAAACGUGGGUUUUUUAGUUUCUUCUGUUCUGAGUUUUGCAUGUUGAAAGCUCAAAGUUAGGUUUGUCCUAUGUGAUUUCAUGCAUUGGAGCUCAGCUGCCGCGUGGUGUUUUGUUUUGGCUAGUGCUGCUUCUUGUGGUCCGGCAUUUGGGUUGGUGCUUUAAAGCUUGAACUUUUUGAGCUUGAAUUCAUUGGUUGAAGGGAUUUCGUUGCUUUCUCUCUGGUUUUGUUGUGGGUUUAAUUUCAUGCCUUUGAGUGAGAAAUGAUUCGCUUUGAACUCUUUGUUGUACUCGGAGGAAAGUUUGGAUUAUUUCUGGAGAUGGGGUUACUGGACUUGACAAUAGGUGCUGGGCGACCUCUAAUUGCUUGAAUUCGGGCAUUGUCGCGUGCUUUGCUGUGCCAUCAGUAUAUCGUUGGUGGGUGUUAAGGAUUUUGUUGCUUUUGUAAUGCCAUAAUUGCGAAGAUUGGAAACGUUUCUUUAACAAGAAAUGCCAUAUACUUUAACUCGUUUCCUUACUUCUAAAGUGAUUCUUCUAUUGGAUGCAUUACUGUUCUGAACAUGACCAGAGCUGUCCGGGAUAGGAUUCUUAAGGAUGCGAAUGGUGAUAUUAGUGAUCAUCUACGCAACCACAUCCAUUUGACGAAUUGUAUUCACCUAAAGAACCAUAUGCAUAAGCAUAGCCCCAUAUUAGCUGAUAGGUCCAUUAUGAGGGACCUUGUCGUCCUUCAGAGGUCAAGAUCUCUCAGGGACCCUUCUGCAAGUCCUCCCUCAUGGCAUUCACCUUCCAUUGUUGAUCUACUCCAAAAUAAGGUUGAAAAUGACAUGCUUCGGGAGGGGAGAAGUUCAAUAGGCAUUGAGCCUAGGAGGAAAGCUAGGAGAGUGUUGGGAAGCACACAACCCUCAGCAAAUUUAGCCACAUCAAAAGUUGCUCUUGGUGAGGUUGGUGGGGUUAAUGAUGGCAUAGCAGCAGUCAGUGAACAAAGUAGCAAGAGUGGAGUUGGGAACAGUAGAAGAGUUGGGAGAGAGGAAUCUGCCCGGAAGAGUUAUAGGAGUGACAUUUUGGGUGGCAAUGAGAAGCCUCCACUUGAUCAAGGUGGUAAUGAUUUGACUCAUGAUGUUGUGUCGGGGAACUCUGAAUCUAAAGGUAGAAGGAGUAAACAAAGGGGAAAGCAUAUUGGAAAUGUUCCAUUAAAGACCCUUUCUGAGCAGUUGAAUGACGUUCAAAUGGAUAGUGAUGAUGUAGCAUCUUCUAACAUCCGUCUUCGUGGAGAACAUUCACGACCAGAAAAAACUGUUGGGGAGCCACAAGCCAGCAUUCCUGGGUACUGCAGUGGGUUAAGUAGAGUUAAAAGGCGCAAGUUUCACGGCACUAGAAGAACUCGAGCUACUACAUCUUCAAGAGAUAUUGGAGCUCAGAAUGAAUUGUCUGUGGCAUCUAAUACGUUAGCUCAGGGAUCAAGCAAUCCCAAGUCUUACAUGGAAGAAAGGGAAGAAGAAUUUGUUGAUACAAAUGUCACUAGGGCUCCAAGAAAUGGGUGUGGGAUUCCUUGGAAUUGGUCAAUAAUUCAUCACAGAGGUAAAGAUAUUCUUGACAUGGCUGGAAGAAGUUUUUCUUGUGGUUUGUCAGACUCAAGGUUAAAGAAAGGAGGUUCAACUGCCCAUGGGAGAGAAAUGUCUGACAUGCCAAUGCCAUCGGACUACUCAACCUCAUCCGCAAGAUCCGAUGCAGAUGCAGUGCCUCUGCUAGUUGAGGCAUCUGGAUCCCAGGAAAGCACUGAACGUGCUGGUUGGAUCCGUGACUAUUCUGGAGAGCUUGGAAUUUUUUCUGAUAAUUUAUACAAGCAUGAUGCUGAUUCUGACCUUGUCUCUGAAGCUCGUUCUCGUGAUCAACGAAAAUUGAGAGGCUAUCGCAACAGUCAACACAAGAGCCUGACACAAAAGUACAUGCCGAGAACCUUCAGGGAUCUGGUGGGACAGAAUUUGGUUGCACAAGCUCUUUCAAAUGCUGUAACGAAAAGGAAGGUUGGGUUGCUAUAUGUGUUUUAUGGACCUCAUGGCACUGGUAAAACCUCCUGUGCCCAUAUAUUUGCUAGAGCUUUGAAUUGUCAGUCUUCAGAACAUCCUAAACCUUGUGGACUUUGCAAUUCAUGCAUUGCACAUGACAUGGGUAGGAGUAGAAACAUAAGGGAAGUUGGUCCAGUCAGUAAUUUUGACUUUGAGAGGAUUAUGGAUUUACUGGACAAUAUGAUUGUUUCCCAGCUGCGAUCACAGUUUAGAGUUUUUAUCUUUGAUGACUGUGAUACUUUGUCCCCUGAUUGCUGGAGUGCCAUUUCAAAGGUCAUUGAUCGAGCUCCCAGACGUGUGGUUUUUGUCCUCGUCAGUUCAAGUCUUGAUGUUUUGCCUCAUAUAAUCAUAUCCAGAUGCCAGAAAUUCUUUUUCCCAAAGUUGAAGGAUGCAGAUAUUAUCUAUACUUUGCAGUGGAUUGCAACCAAAGAAGAUUUGGAAAUUGAUAAGGAUGCACUAAAACUCAUUGCAUCAAGAUCUGAUGGAUCAUUGAGGGAUGCUGAGAUGACACUUGAGCAAUUGAGUUUGCUUGGGCAGAGAAUAUCUGUUCCUCUGGUUCAGGAACUGGUUGGGCUUAUCUCAGAUGAGAAAUUGGUUGAUCUUCUUGAUUUAGCACUAUCUGCCGACACAGUUAAUACAGUGAAGAAUUUGAGAGUAAUAAUGGAAACUGGUGUGGAGCCAUUAGCUUUGAUGUCACAGCUUGCUACAGUCAUUACUGAUAUACUUGCUGGUAGUUACGACUUCAAGAAAGAAAGGUUUAGAAGGAAGUUCUUUCGGCGACAACCCUUAUCCAAAGAGGAUAUGGAAAAACUGCGUCAAGCUUUGAAAACUCUAUCUGAGGCUGAAAAACAGCUAAGGAUGUCAAAUGACAAAUUAACAUGGCUAACAGCUGCAUUGCUUCAACUUGCUCCUGAUCAGCAGUACAUGCUGCCUACUUCUUCAGACACUAGUUUUAAUCACAGUCCCAUGGCCCUGGAUAAUGUGGGUGGAAGAGAUUCAGCCACGGGAAUGGGUGAGUUUUCCGAGGUGUCCAAUAAGGAGAGAGGCUUGUCAACAAAUGUGAGGGUAGAAAAUCUCCAUGCUGGAAGUUCUGCUGAUAUCUAUCAAAAUGGUACGCUUCAGGGUAUUAGUUUAGAGAGAAAAAGAUAUGUCGGGACUGGUAUAGCUCAUCAACAGACAUCUGCACGUGCCGCUGACAUGACUGGGAUAACUGGCGGGCAGAUUUCUUGUAAAAGCCAUAGAGGAAUUGAAGACAUCUGGUUGGAGGUGCUUGAAAAAAUCCAAAUCAAUGGCGUAAAGGAGUUUUUGUAUCAAGAAGGGAAGCUGAUCUCAGUCAGUUUUGGUGCAGCCCCAACUGUGCAGAUGAUGUUCAGUUCACACCAGGCAAAAUCUAGGGCUGAGAAAUAUAGGCGGCACAUCUUAGAAGCAUUUGAGAAUGUUCUUGGGUCCCGAGUGACAAUUGAAAUAAGAUGUGAAUUAAACAAAGAUUCAGGAUCAGGUGUGCAUGUGCCUCUUAUGUUGCCAGCUUCCAAAGGUGGUUCAUCUCAAAUUAGAGAUAUAAAUGGGGUCAGCAUUCAAGCUCAGCUCUUACAGUCUGACAAUCCUCAAAUGGGGAGGAGUGAAAUUGUCGAAGUAGCAGCUUCUCCUAGAGAACCCAGGGAUAAUGAACACACAGAUAAUCAUGCAGUAUCUGGUAAAAGAGGUUUGGGAGGUUCAUGGGUGGGAGAAAGGCCUGCUUCUUCUAUGAAAUCAACCAUGGAUUCACUCCCUCAAAGGAGAAAGAUUGGGGAACAAAUUCAGAGCCAGAGCCUUGUUAGAAGCAAGGUGUCUCUGGCCCACGUACUUCAGCAGGCAGAAGGAUGUACCCAGCGAAAUGGAUGGUCAAAACGCAGAGCAGUUUCCAUUGCUGAAAAGCUUGAACAAGAGAAUUUGAGACUGGAACCUAGAUCAAGAAGCUUACUUUGCUGGAGAGCAACAAGAGUAACUCGUCGGAAGCUUUCACGUUUGAAAAUCAGGACACGAAAGCCACAUUCAUUGCUGAAGCUUGUUUCCUGUGGAAAGUGUCUCUCAACUAAGUCUCCGAGAUGAUACAAAGAACAGAAUUUUGGAUGGCUUGGAAGGAUAGAUCGUGCCACCUCAUUUGCAUUAUUAAUGUGUAGAGAGGUUCCUACUGUUUACUAGUCAAUUGAAGCCUUGCAUGAUUGGUUGCGGUUUUGAUUGUUAUUCAUUUUAGACACUUGCGCUCAAAUUGGCCUGUGCAAGGCAUUGGCAUAGGAAAUGCAGAAGAAAUUGUAACUGUAUAACUAUCUGCAGUUGCAAUUUUUCUACCUUGCCUGACUGCUGGAAAUUGUAAAUAACCUGUGAUGUGAGGGCAUUACACGGGUCCAGGGUUUAACCUAGUAAAAGACAUGUAUUUGCACAGCCUCUGGAGUUUCUCGUCUUAGAAAAGAAGUACAAAACUGCAUUGUAAUAAAUUAUACACUCGAUACUGCAACAUUCAUUAUGCCCAACUUGUUACGAAGGUUCGAAAAUGGCACGCUUUUGUUUAAAUCCCUUGACAUCUCCUCGCAAAUAACUCGAC